rnacentral:lncRNA from 1 species
CUGGGCAAGUCACUUAACCCCAACUGUCAAAAAAAUAAAAUAAAAUAAAAAGAAUGGGAUUUAUUGAUUUAAGAGUUGACUUAGAUGAGUGUUUUAUUGUGUUAAUUUUUUUGUAGGGUACAGUCUCUGCCUCAGCUAGUGGGAAAAGAAGCUUAUGAUUUGAGGAUCCUUUUUACUCCUAUAGCUGGAAGACUUUAGAAUAUCACUGAUAGUAGAAGCAUAUCUAUGCUAGGAGAGAAGUAGAAAACUUGUUCUUUACCCUAAAGCAGACCCAAUUCAGAUGUACGUCUUAUCAUCUUGAGAGAUUCAGCACAGGUAUUUUCUACUGUUGAAACUGCGUGUGGCCGCAAGCUUACUAUGUGUGUAUAUACUUUGAUGUAUAUGCUUAAAAAAUAAAGUUACUUGAAAACAUGUUUCAUAAUAAGUAUUAAGUUCCUAAAUCUUUUUCACCUAAACAUCUGUUACCAGCAGCAAAGUGGGCAAUAUCAGUGUUAUUGGUAAGAAGGCUGAAUGAUAUUUAUAACCUUUUAAGUUUAGUGUGAAAAGCUAUUAGGUUUAUCAUAGACUUUCUGAAUGUGCUUCUUCGGUGCCAGUUAUUGGAAGGCUUAGAGUUCUGACUUCCAAAGCAGUAGAAUUUUCAUCUGCUUUAUGCGAACAGGAUUGGUAAGCGGUUAUCCUUAUAAUUGACUGCUCUGAAAAUCCGGUCAAAAACUUCACAGAGUUCUUGGCUCCUGGUUGUGAUUGCCACACAUCCUGACUUCCACCCUAAUCCCACUUUCCACCAGCUUCUCUGCAUUCUAACACCAUAGCAAAAAAGACAAAAGAAAAAGAUCGUUUAAUAUUUAUG